rnacentral:rRNA from 1 species
AACUCUUCGGAGGGAAGUUCGUGGAACGAGCGGCGGACGGGUGAGUAACACGUAGGCAACCUGCCUGUAAGACUGGGAUAACUCGCGGAAACGCGAGCUAAUACCGGAUAACACUUUCUAUCACCUGAUGGAAAGUUGAAAGGCGGCUUUUGCUGUCACUUACAGAUGGGCCUGCGGCGCAUUAGCUAGUUGGUGAGGUAACGGCUCACCAAGGCGACGAUGCGUAGCCGACCUGAGAGGGUGAUCGGCCACACUGGGACUGAGACACGGCCCAGACUCCUACGGGAGGCAGCAGUAGGGAAUCUUCCGCAAUGGACGAAAGUCUGACGGAGCAACGCCGCGUGAGUGAUGAAGGUUUUCGGAUCGUAAAACUCUGUUGUCAGGGAAGAACAAGUACGAUAGUAACUGAUCGUACCUUGACGGUACCUGACCAGAAAGCCACGGCUAACUACGUGCCAGCAGCCGCGGUAAUACGUAGGUGGCAAGCGUUGUCCGGAAUUAUUGGGCGUAAAGCGCUCGCAGGCGGUUCUUUAAGUCUGAUGUGAAAUCUUGCGGCUCAACCGCAAACGUGCAUUGGAAACUGGAGGACUUGAGUGCAGAAGAGGAGAGUGGAAUUCCACGUGUAGCGGUGAAAUGCGUAGAGAUGUGGAGGAACACCAGUGGCGAACGCGACUCUCUGGUCUGUAACUGACGCUGAGGAGCGA